AACGAACGCUGGCGGCAGGCUUAACACAUGCAAGUCGAACGCAUCCUUCGGGGUGAGUGGCAGACGGGUGAGUAACGCGUGGGAACGUGCCCUUCAGUUCGGGAUAACCCAGGGAAAAUUGGGCUAAUACCGGAUACGUGCGAGAGCAGAAAGAUUUAAUGCUGAAGGAACGGCCCGCGUCUGAUUAGCUAGUUGGUGGGGUAAUGGCCCACCAAGGCGACGAUCAGUAGCUGGUCUGAGAGGAUGAUCAGCCACAUUGGGACUGAGACACGGCCCAAACUCCUACGGGAGGCAGCAGUGGGGAAUAUUGGACAAUGGGCGCAAGCCUGAUCCAGCCAUGCCGCGUGAGUGAUGAAGGCCUUAGGGUUGUAAAGCUCUUUCGUCCGGGACGAUAAUGACGGUACCGGAAGAAGAAGCCCCGGCUAACUUCGUGCCAGCAGCCGCCGUAA
rnacentral:rRNA from 1 species